AGGCCCUUUUCGUCUGGGGAAUGGAGAGGUACCCCCAGGCUGAAAGACUGCCUGGUCUCCAGCUUGAGGAUAAGGGAGAAGUGUGCCAAACUUGCAGAUUCACAGGAUCAGCUGGAGACCUCCCAAGAAAUUUCACUGAAACAGAUUCAUAAAUGCUUGUGUAAUAGAGCCCCCCAAGGAGUUUCGCUAUAACAGGUUUCUGCAUUACUGAAUGUCAAGAAUAGCCAGAUUGCACUUCAUAGGUAACUAUUAUCCUUGACCAAUAAACAUCAUUUGGCUCUAUUCUGCUUACA
rnacentral:lncRNA from 1 species